UUAAUGUCAGUGUGUCCACAAA
rnacentral:siRNA from 1 species